rnacentral:rRNA from 1 species
UACGUAGGUGGCAAGCGUUGUCCGGAUUUAUUGGGUUUAAAGGGUGCGUAGGCGGUCUUUUAAGUCAGUGCUGAAAUACUCCAGCUUAACUGGAGGGGUGGCAUUGAUACUGGAAGACUUGAGUGUAGUCGAGGUAGGCGGAAUUGACGGUGUAGCGGUGAAAUGCUUAGAUAUGACCCGGAACACCGAUUGCGAAGGCAGCCUACUAAGCAAUUAUUGACGCUGAGGCACGAAAGCGUGGGGAUCAAACAGG